rnacentral:rRNA from 1 species
CCAAGGCUUGACAUGUACGAGAACGCCCCAGAGAUGGGGUUCUCUUUGGACACUCGUACACAGGUGGUGCAUGGUUGUCGUCAGCUCGUGUCGUGAGAUGUUGGGUUAAGUCCCGCAACGAGCGCAACCCUUAUCCUAUGUUGCCAGCGGGUUAUGCCGGGGACUCAUGGGAGACUGCCGGGGUCAACUCGGAGGAAGGUGGGG